ACACGGCUGUCUGGGCUUCGCUAACUAAAUUGUAAACACAUGUCUACAGAAGGAUAAGAAGGCUUGCUGUCAUCAAAUUAGGUGUGAAAUGGAAAGUUUGGAAUGAAAAACCAGCACAACAUAGCAGCAGAAUCUAACGUUGGGGACAGGCUAAGAAGAAAGAGAGAAGUCCUGCCUUUCGAGAAAGCUUCAGUCGGUUGGGUGAACUGCGGUCAAUUGUGAAAGAAGGCAUUCCAAUCCUGGCAUUGACAGCUUCAGCGGACACCCAAUCUAGAGAGAGGGUCAUCAGUAUGCUAAACAUGCAGGGAGCAAGGAGAAUACACGUAUCCCCAAACAGAGAGAACAUUAGACUAGGUAUUGUAAGACUGCCAAACGAUAAGCUGAAAUGCCUUGACUGGGUAGUUAAACUGGUAAAAGAUGGUGGUGUUGCUGCACCACAGAUAAUCAUUUACUGUCGGUCAGUAAAAACAACAGGCAAAGUGCAUCGUUACCUGCAUACAGAGCUGGGACCAGAUGCCUGGGUGGAUAGGGACCCCGAAGAAAGAACAAAAAACUGUUUCAUUGGAAUGUACCACAGUUCCACCCUGCCUAAAUACAAGAAAUAUGUUGUUUCAUCACUGAAUGGUAAUGGCAACUGUAGAAUUGUACUAGCAACUAAUGCUCUCAGUAUGGGGAUGAACUUCCCAAAUGUCUCUUAUGUCAUUAUGUACGGCCCACCGGAGGACGCAGAAGAUGUACUCCAGCAAAUUGGUAGAGCUGGGCGUAGUGGGUCACAUGUUAAUGCUGUU